rnacentral:rRNA from 1 species
UACAGAGGGUGCGAGCGUUGUCCGGAAUCACUGGGCGUAAAGGGCGCGUAGGUGGUGGCUUAAGCGUGCGGUGAAAGCUCGGAGCUCAACUCCGAGUCGGCCGUGCGAACUGGGCUCACUGGAGCAUAGUAGAGGCAGGUGGAAUUCCGGGUGUAGCGGUGGAAUGCGUAGAGAUCCGGAAGAACACCGGUGGCGAAGGCGGCCUGCUGGGCUAUGGCUGACACUGAGGCGCGAGAGCGUGGGGAGCAAACCGG